GGCGCCAUAGCCAAGUGGUAAGGCAGAGGUCUGCAACACCUUUACCCUCAGUUCAAAUCUGAGUGGCGCCUCCA
rnacentral:tRNA from 6 species